rnacentral:rRNA from 1 species
CAAACUGAAGAUGGCGACCGGCGCACGGGUGAGUAACACGUAUCCAACCUGCCCUUUACUCGGGGAUAGCCUUUCGAAAGAAAGAUUAAUACCCGAUAGCAUAAUGAUUCCGCAUGGUUUCAUUAUUAAAGGAUUCCGGUAAAGGAUGGGGAUGCGUUCCAUUAGGCAGUUGGCGGGGUAACGGCCCACCAAACCGACGAUGGAUAGGGGUUCUGAGAGGAAGGUCCCCCACAUUGGUACUGAGACACGGACCAA